GACGAACGCUGGCGGCGUGCUUAACACAUGCAAGUCGAACGGAAAGGCCCCAGCUUGCUGGGGUACUCGAGUGGCGAACGGGUGAGUAACACGUGGGUGAUCUGCCCUGCACUCUGGGAUAAGCCCGGGAAACUGGGUCUAAUACCGGAUAGGACCGUGCUUUAGUGUGUGCGGUGGAAAGUUUUUCGGUGCAGGAUGAGCCCGCGGCCUAUCAGCUUGUUGGUGGGGUAAUGGCCUACCAAGGCGGCGACGGGUAGCCGGCCUGAGAGGGUGUACGGCCACAUUGGGACUGAGACACGGCCCAGACUCCUACGGGAGGCAGCAGUGGGGAAUAUUGCACAAUGGGCGCAAGCCUGAUGCAGCGACGCCGCGUGGGGGAUGACGGCCUUCGGGUUGUAAACCCCUUUCGGCAGGGACGAAGCUUUUGUGACGGUACCUGCAUAAGAAGCACCGGCUAACUACGUG
rnacentral:rRNA from 1 species